rnacentral:rRNA from 1 species
AUUGAACGCUGGCGGCAUGCUUUACACAUGCAAGUCGGACGGCAGCACAGAGAAGCUUGCUUCUUGGGUGGCGAGUGGCGAACGGGUGAGUAAUAUAUCGGAACGUACCGAGUAAUGGGGGAUAACUAAUCGAAAGAUUAGCUAAUACCGCAUAUUCUCUGAGGAGGAAAGCAGGGGACCUUCGGGCCUUGCGUUAUUCGAGCGGCCGAUAUCUGAUUAGCUAGUUGGUGGGGUAAAGGCCUACCAAGGCGACGAUCAGUAGCGGGUCUGAGAGGAUGAUCCGCCACACUGGGACUGAGACACGGCCCAGACUCCUACGGGAGGCAGCAGUGGGGAAUUUUGGACAAUGGGCGCAAGCCUGAUCCAGCCAUGCCGCGUGUCUGAAGAAGGCCUUCGGGUUGUAAAGGACUUUUGUCAGGGAAGAAAAGGCUGUUGCUAAUA